rnacentral:rRNA from 1 species
AUGCACGCUGGCGGCGUGCCUAAUACCUGCAAGUCGAGCGAACAGACGAGGAGCUUGCUCCUUUGACGUUAGCGGCGGACGGGUGAGUAACACGUGGAUAACCUACCUAUAAGACUGGGAUAACUUCGGGAAACCGGAGCUAAUACCGGAUAAUAUAUUGAACCGCAUGGUUCAAUAGUGAAAGACGGUUUUGCUGUCACUUAUAGAUGGAUCCGCGCCGCAUUAGCUAGUUGGUAAGGUAACGGCUUACCAAGGCAACGAUGCGUAGCCGACCUGAGAGGGUGAUCGGCCACACUGGAACUGAGACACGGUCCAGACUCCUACGGGAGGCAGCAGUAGGGAAUCUUCCGCAAUGGGCGAAAGCCUGACGGAGCAACGCCGCGUGAGUGAUGAAGGUCUUCGGAUCGUAAAACUCUGUUAUUAGGGAAGAACAAAUGUGUAAGUAACUAUGCACGUCUUGACGGUACCUAAUCAGAAAGCCACGGCUAACUACGUG